AUGAACAUGGUGGCCGGCUACCGGCUGGAUCAAAAUCCAACUUUCAUGACGAUGAGCUGCAAAACAAUUCAGUUCUUAGUACAUCAGCUUUUCAACACACUGGUAAGACUUUUCUGUUCUCUUUUAAUACUUUGGUAUAGAGGAAAAAAGCAACUAAUAGUGUGGUUUAUUUAUUUAACAGAAUCAUCUGAUGUAAAAGACCUGGAAUCUUCUGGAACAUGUCUUAAGGAUAGUGAACUAUCACCGACUGAUGAACUUUCUGGGAAGGAAAACUCGUGUCUUAUUUCUCCUCUGAGUAAAUCAAAACCGCUAGCAUUUGAUGUGCAUAUCAAAGAAGUACAAGCAGAUGUGAAAAAGUCAUUUCAAAAUAUCAAAAACCCUCCUGGCAGUGACAUUAACAAUGCUUAUCCUGUCCGCGUUCAACUACCCACAAACCAUCUUAAAACAUCACAUAUCACUGAUUAUAAAGCAACACACCGGCAUCGGAAAAUCAGCCAGUCCUCUACCUCCACCUCCACACUGAGUCAUUUGAGCCUGAAAGCUCCUGUUGAAGACCUGUGUGCAUCCUUUCUGUUGGCGUGUUUGUUCUGCAAGUUUUGGGAUUGUGUGCUGGCCGUUGGUGAUGGAUGUCAGUACAGCGUGGCCUCUAUCUGUUCAUCCUUCUGCUCUAACGCAUGCUGUUGUGACCCUUCCUCUCUGGAGGAAUAUAUAGAUUUUUGCUCAUGUUGCAGCUGCACUGAAUACAUGGAGGCUUGCGGCUGUACUUGUGGAGAAAACACCUUUGACUGCUCCAUUUGUGAUCUCUGUCUACAGACAACUGAGUGUCUGGAACUAGGCAUGGAGCUUUCUCAGCUUCUGUUUCACUAG
ensembl:lncRNA